rnacentral:rRNA from 1 species
UCAAAUUUGAAAGCUGGUACCUUCGGUAUCCGCGUUGUAACCUCGAGACACGUUUUCCGUGCGGCGCUAUGGACAAGUUCCUUGGAACAGGACAUCGUAGAGGGUGAAAAUCCCGUACUUGCCAUGGAUGUACCGUGCUUUGCGAUACGUGCUCUAAGAGUCGAGUUGUUUGGGAUUGCAGCUCAAAAUGGGUGGUAGACUCCAUCUAAAGCUAAAUAUCGGGGAGAGACCGAUAGCGAACAAGUACCGUGAGGGAAAGAUGAAAAGCACUUUGGAAAGAGAGUUAAAAGUACGUGAAAUUGUCGAAAGGGAAGCGCUUGAAGUCAGCCAUGCCGCUCAGGACUCAGCCUGGCUUUUGCUUGGUGUAUUUCCUGGGUAGCAAGUCAGCAUUGGUUUGGAUCGUCGGAGAAGCAUAGUCGGAAUGUGGCGCCCUCGGGCGUGUUAUAGCCUUCUAUUGGAUACGACGAUCUAGACCAAGGAACGCAGCGCGCCUUAUGGCGGGUCUUCGGACACCUUCGCGCUUAGGAUGCUGGCGUAAUGGCUUUAAGUGGCCCGUCUUG